CGGAGUGAGUAACGCGUGGGUAACCUGCCUCAUACAGGGGGAUAGCAGCUGGAAACGGCUGGUAAUACCGCAUAAGCGCACAGUACCACAUGGUACAGUGUGAAAAACUCCGGUGGUAUGAGAUGGACCCGCGUCUGAUUAGCUGGUUGGCGGGGUAACGGCCUACCAAGGCGACGAUCAGUAGCCGACCUGAGAGGGUGACCGGCCACAUUGGGACUGAGACACGGCCCAG
rnacentral:rRNA from 1 species